rnacentral:rRNA from 1 species
UACGUAGGUGGCAAGCGUUAUCCGGAAUUAUUGGGCGUAAAGAGCUCGUAGGCGGUUUGUCGCGUCUGCCGUGAAAGUCCGGGCUCAACUCCGGAUCUGCGGUGGGUACGGGCAGACUAGAGUGAUGUAGGGGAGACUGGAAUUCCUGGUGUAGCGGUGAAAAUGCGCAGAUAUCAGGAGGAACACCGAUGGCGAAGGCAGGUCUCUGGGCAUUAACUGACGCUGAGGAGCGAAAGCAUGGGGAGCGAACAGG